UACGAAGGAGGCUAGCGUUGCUCGGAAUCACUGGGCGUAAAGCGCACGUAGGCGGGUUGUUAAGUCGGGGGUGAAAUCCUGGAGCUCAACUCCAGAACUGCCUUCGAUACUGGCGACCUUGAGUCCGGGAGAGGUGAGUGGAACUCCGAGUGUAGAGGUGAAAUUCGUAGAUAUUCGGAAGAACACCAGUGGCGAAGGCGGCUCCCUGGCCCGGUACUGACGCUGAGGUGCGAAAGCGUGGGGAGCAAACAGG
rnacentral:rRNA from 1 species